CCUACGGGAGGCAGCAGUGAGGAAUAUUGGUCAAUGGACGAGAGUCUGAACCAGCCAAGUAGCGUGAAGGAUGACUGCCCUAUGGGUUGUAAACUUCUUUUAUAUGGGAAUAAAAUGUUCCACGUGUGGGAUUUUGUAUGUACCAUAUGAAUAAGGAUCGGCUAACUCCGUGCCAGCAGCCGCGGUAAUACGGAGGAUCCGAGCGUUAUCCGGAUUUAUUGGGUUUAAAGGGAGCGUAGGUGGAUUGUUAAGUCAGUUGCGAAAGUUUGCGGCUCAACCGUAAAAUUGCAGUUGAAACUGGCAGUCUUGAGUACAGUAGAGGUGGGCGGAAUUCGUGGUGUAGCGGUGAAAUGCUUAGAUAUCACGAAGAACUCCGAUUGCGAAGGCAGCUCACUGGACUGCAACUGACACUGAGGCUCGAAAGUGUGGGUAUCAAACAGGAUUAGAUACCCCAGUAGUC
rnacentral:rRNA from 1 species